ensembl:lncRNA
CACACACACACAUAACUGAAAAAUAAAACACACCAACAUUUAUGGCUCACGAAAUAUACAUCUAUCCAAAUUCAGUCAUUUACUAUACAUCCCCACUAAUAUAUUCACACUGUAUUUACACUCUCAUAAUAACCAAAACCAACCUCUUAUAUACAGGCAUUUAGCAAAAAGCUCAAUUCUGUCGAAACUGAAACCACCCUCUCUGCGCGUCACUGCUGCUCAUUUGCAUUUACACACACCAUCCGUGCACAUCCGGCUGUGCAUUACUGACACAGAGACUGAUCUUACUCAUAGAUCUCAUAUUUUAUAUUACAGACGUCUUUAAUUACAACUGCACAGAUUUUUUAGGCCUUGUCGCUCCUACAAAUUUCGAAAAUUUUCCAUAACCGACUCGAACGGGCAAACCUUCAGGUUUUUUGCGACCAAUUUAACAGACCAGACUCGAACUGCUCUGUCCAGAUUUCUAGCCCUAACUUAAUUUACCGGUAGCCAAAAAAGCGCAAAUAGGAGACUCUAACUCCUAGCAAUUUUGAAGAUUCCCCAGUCCUUCCCGGCUCGUCGUGCCGUACUAACCCUACUCUUCAGGGUAGGUCAAGGAUAAACGUCUUUAUCCAGGAGGGAGCGUUACCUCCGAGAAAAUGCGCUUCUUAACAGACGCCGCUGUCGUCCUAGAAAAAUUUAUAAUAAUUUGAAACAACAAUCUACACCCGAAGCAGGAUUAAGAUUGAGGACAAUCCUCAACAGUUUUAGAGAUUCCCCAGUCCUCUUCGGAUGUUGCCCGAAACUAUCCCUACUCUUCAGGGUAGGUGAAGGAUAAACGUCUUUACCCAGCAGGGAGCGUCACCUCCGAGAAACUUCUUCAGGAUUGUAUAACCAAUGGGACUCUAACCCACAGAUUGACCAAAUUCCCUAUCACUCUAAGUUCACUUAUUACUUACUUAUUCUCAUUACUCAGUACUGUCACUUAUACUUCAUUAUCAUUACUUCACCCGGUAAACUUCAUGAAAACUUCACCAAAAUUAAAAACAGACAUUCACCAGUAAUUUUCAGUGAGUAGACUUUAAUUUGACAUGUCCAAUCUAGCACAUUUUGGAAAAUUCAACAGGUAUGUGCCUUACCUUGUUUAAGCCGGCUUGUCUCUCACUUCAGACCACUGACUCGUAUCUGCCCAUCUAAUCACCACAGACCCUGGAUCUCUCCAAAACCCCAACAUUCCCUCUCUCUCACCGGAACGAGCCCCCAAAUGUCAAGGUUCAAUGUUGAGAGAAGAAUCCAUAAAAACCACAGAUCCAGGCGUGUGCAAUUAGACGGCAUUUUAAUGAACACAUGUGUGAGUUCAACAACCCAAUC